AGCGAACGUUAGCGGCGGGCCUAACACAUGCAAGUCGAACGAGAAUGAGGGGGCAACUCCUCUAGUACAGUGGCAGACGGGUGCGUAACACGUGGGUAAUUUACCUUCCGGCGGGGGACAACAGUCCGAAAGGACUGCUAAUACCGCGUACGUCGGCGGAGGCUCUGGCUUCUGCCGAGAAAGAUGGCCUCUCCUUGGAAGCUGUCACCGGAAGAUGAACCCGCGGCCCAUCAGCUAGUUGGUGAGGUAAUGGCUCACCAAGGCAAAGACGGGUAGCUGGUCUGAGAGGAUGAUCAGCCACACUGGGACUGCGACACGGCCCAGACUCCUACGGGUGGCUG
rnacentral:rRNA from 1 species